rnacentral:rRNA from 1 species
CCAAUAGCGUAUAUUAAAGUUAUUGCAGUUAAAAAGCUCGUAGUUGAAUUUCGGGAUUGACUCGAUGGUCGUGCCUUAAGGGGUAUGAACUGUCGCUGUUGAUUUCUCACCUUCUGGAGAAGCUCGAUGUCCUUAAUUGGAUGUCUUGUGGAACCAGGACCUUUACCUUGAAAAAAUUAGAGUGUUUAAAGCAGGCAUUUUGCUCGAAUACAUUAGCAUGGAAUAAUAGAAUAGGACGGCAUGGUUCUAUUUUGUUGGUUUCUAGGAUCACCGUAAUGAUUAAUAGGGAUAGUUGGGGGCAUUAGUAUUCAAUUGUCAGAGGUGAAAUUCUUGGAUUUAUUGAAGACUAACUACUGCGAAAGCAUUUGCCAAGGAUGUUUUCAUUAAUCAAGAACGAAAGUUAGGGGAUCGAAGACGAUCAGAUACCGUCGUAGUCUUAACCAUAAACUAUGCCGACUAGGAAUCAGACGAUGUUAAUUUUUUAAUGACUCGUUUGGCACCUUACG